UACGUAGGGUCCGAGCGUUGUCCGGAAUUAUUGGGCGUAAAGGGCUCGUAGGCGGUUUGUUGCGUCGGGAGUGAAAUCCUCCAGCUUAACUGGAGGCUUGCUUUCGAUACGGGCAGACUUGAGGUAUUCAGGGGAGAAUGGAAUUCCUGGUGUAGCGGUGAAAUGCGCAGAUAUCAGGAGGAACACCGGUGGCGAAGGCGGUUCUCUGGGCCGAUACUGACGCUGAGGAGCGAAAGCGUGGGGAGCGAACAGG
rnacentral:rRNA from 1 species